rnacentral:rRNA from 1 species
GAUGAACGCUGGCGGCGUGCCUAAUACAUGCAAGUCGAGCGAACAGAUGAGGAGCUUGCUCCUCUGACGUUAGCGGCGGACGGGUGAGUAACACGUGGAUAACCUACCUAUAAGACUGGGAUAACUUCGGGAAACCGGAGCUAAUACCGGAUGAUAUAUUGAACCGCAUGGUUCAAUAGUGAAAGACGGUUUUGCUGUCACUUAUAGAUGGAUCCGCGCUGCAUUAGCUAGUUGGUAAGGUAACGGCUUACCAAGGCAACGAUGCGUAGCCGACCUGAGAGGGUGAUCGGCCACACUGGAACUGAGACACGGUCCAGACUCCUACGGGAGGCAGCAGUAGGGAAUCUUCCGCAAUGGGCGAAAGCCUGACGGAGCAACGCCGCGUGAGUGAUGAAGGUCUUCGGAUCGUAAAACUCUGUUAUUAGGGAAGAACAAAUGUGUAAGUAACUAUGCACGUCUUGACGGUACCUAAUCAGAAAGCCACGGCUAACUACGUG